UUUUAAGGGAAUUUAGAAAGGUUUAGGGGCAAAAUUGGAAAUACAGCUGUUUCCAACGGUCUUCUUCUCUCUAUAUAUAUUGCACCGACCACUCCAUUCUUCUCUCUCUACUCAGCUUUCAGACAGAUCACAUUCCUUCUUCCCUUUCCUCCCGAUUCUCUCUGUUCAUUGGAAACGUUUCGUUUCCUUCCGAUUUCUCUCAAAUUCAAUCGACUGCUUCGACUUUGCUUCUCCGCUCGCUUCUCUGGUAAGGAUCUCCACUGCCGCUUUCUUUUUUUUCCAUUAAAGAUUCAUAUUGCAAAUCUUCUUCUUUGAUUUUGUCAAACAACUCUUUAAUAUUUGUGGUUCUUUUAAUAUUUGUGAUUCUUUUACGAGAUAAAACAUAAAAUCAUGUUCUCUGAGUCAGAUCUGGAAUCCACCGUAACACUCAUUUAGGGAAAAGUCACCAAAAUCUAAGAUCCGUGUAAUCCUUUUUCGGUAACAAACGACCAAUAAAAAAUAUUAAAAAAGAAACCCAGAAAAUCCUCUGUGAAAAUAAAAAAAACGAAAAGAGAUCAAAACCCUAGAUCUUGAAAUAAGACUGAUUACUUCUCCCUGGUUUUUCUGUAAUUAGGUUGUGUGGAGUUUUGGAUUGGAGAAUCUUGAAAUGAAUCUGUAAAAUGCAAUCUUUGUAAUGUUAUUAAGGUUUGAGCUCACCAUUACAACGUAAUGACCUCAAACCCCAUGGGGGAGUCCUAAUCAUAAUGUAUCUUUGUUUUUUAACUGGGUACAAAUUGCAAUGGUGCUGGUUCUGCUAUUUGGGGUUUGAGGGCUAAUUAUAAUGUAUAUAAUUUUCAUUUAGUUUGAGGACAAACUACAAUUGUAUAAUGGAUUGUAUUAUGUUUGUUAUUUCAAUUAUUCAGGGCUUAGAGUUGAAAUUCCAAUGUAUAUCAAUUUUUAUUGGAUGAGAAGCCUAUUGGGUUCUAUUAUUAUUAUUAUAUAUAUUAUAUAUUUUUUUAAUUAGUUGUACUCAAAUUAUGGGUUUUGGAUCUUGUGGUUGUAUUCCAUAUUACAAUAUGUAUGUAAUAUUUGUAGGCGACAAGUCUGUUUAUUUAUCUUCUAAUAUUGUUAUUAAGUUUUGUUAUAUUUUUUACAGGUUAUAUAUAAUAUUUAUAAGUUUGAGCCUAUUGGAUUGUAUUUUUAUUAUUUUCGUCAUGAUAUUACCCACAUUAUUGUAUUUGAAUAAUGGAUUUCAGAUCAUUUGGUUGUAUUUCAUAUUACAAUAUAUAUGUAAUAUUCAUAGGUAUCAAGCCUAUUGAAUUGUUUUAAUAUUGUUACGAAGUUUUGUUAUAUUUUUUACGGGUUGUAUGUAAUAGUUAUAAAGUUCGAGCUUAUUGCGUUGUAAUAUUAUUAUUAUCAUGAUGAUACGACACAUAAUAUUGUAUUUGAAUUAUGAGUUUCGGAUCAUUUGGUUGUAUUCCAUAUUACAAUAUGUAUGUAAUAUUCAUAGGUAUCAAGCCUAUUGAAUUGUUUUAAUAUUGUUACGAAGUUUUGUUAUAUUUUUUACGGGUUGUAUGUAAUAGUUAUAAAUUUCGAGCCUAUUUCGUUGUAAUAUUAUUAUUAUCACGAUGAUAUUACCCACAUUAUUGUAUUAGAAUAAUAGAUUUUGGAUCAUUUGGUUGUAUUCCAUAUUACAAUAUAUAUGUAAUAUUCAUAGGUAUCAAGCCUAUUGAAUUGUUUUAAUAUUGUUACGAAAUUUUGUUAUAUUUUUUACGGGUUGUAUGUAAUAGUUAUAAGUUUCGAGCCUAUUUCGUUUGUAAUAUUAUUAUUAUCACGAUGAUAUGACACACAAUAUUGUUUUUGAAUUAUGGGUUUCAAAUAUUUUAAUUUCAUUCAACAAUAUAAUGAAUGUAACGAAGCCCAUUGACUUGUAUUUUUUUUCUUAGAUAAUUAAACUAUAUUCUUAUUAUUAUGAAGUUUAUUAACUUUUAUGGGUUUUAUAAGUUGCUAAAUUCAGUUGUUAUUAUUAAUUUUUUUUUAAAGUUGUGGGCCGAGCACAAAUUAUAAUUUGAUUUUAACCAAGUUUAAGCAUAUGUUAUUUGUAAUAAUAUUUUUGCGAUGAAUUUCAUUAUUGUUAUUAUUUGUGAUGUAUUAUUGAGGGUUGAACCGAAUUGUAAUGCAUAUUAUAUUUUUUUGAUGUGUUUGUAAAAUUUAGUUGCAUCUAAAAUUGUAUUGACCGACAACAAAGUUUAAUCUUCAAAUUUUAACAAGCAAAUAAGAUUAAAUUAAAACAUUAUAAUAUUAAAAAUGUUAUACUAAGACAUUAUCAAUUUACUUCUUCAAUUUGAUGGUAAAUAAGACUUAAAUUGAAAUAAAAAAUAAACUGAAUUUUGUUGGUGAACAUAAUUUCCUAGUUUGUAAAUAAGAAUGUUAAUUAUUUGACAUACAAGUAUAUUUAUACAGUAUAUUGUGCUAUAUCCAGUAAUUAUAAUGUAUAAUAUUUGUGUAAAACAAUUAUCGUGUAUUGGUUUGCUAGAAAAUAGUAAUAUAAUGAAUUGUAUUCUCAAUUACAAUGAGUAUUUUUUUAGUGAGAUGAAAGUUGACGUAUUGUAAUAUUUUUAUCAGAAAGUUUCACCUACAAUUCGAUCAGAAAAAAUGAGUGCAACUACUUGCAGUUCAGUGAAAAAAAGAAAAAUUCCAAUGCAAAAACGUGAAACAAAAGAGCAGAGAGCUGUUACAUUCAGUAAAAGACGAACGGGUCUGUUUAACAAAGCAGCAGAAUUGUGUGUUCUCUGCAAUACUCAGGUUGUAAUUUUGGUUUCUGCUCCUUUGGCCAAAGAAAAGUUUUAUACUUUUGCACACCCUAACAUCAAUCUUCUUCUCGACACAUUCCUCAAUAACCAUGUCUCUCAUCCCAUCAACAAUUACAAUAAUCUUUCUACUUCUUCGUCUCAUCAAACUAUGGAGCAAUUAACUCCUAACAAUAAUGUGUCCAAGACCAAGAAGAGAAAGAGAGAGUCUGAAGAGUUUUGGUGGGAAAAUGAAGACUUUGAUGUUUACCAAACACCUGAAGAGGUGACAUCAAUCAUCGAGAAGUUAGAAAAGGUGAGAGAAAAUGUGGCGCUCAAACUUCAAAAAUUAUCAACUUCUAAUAAUCAAGAUAUUAACAGUAGCGAUCAUCAAAACUAUCAUCUUGGGUGCUUUGCUGAAAAUAUGAUGAACAUUAAUAAUGAGUACAGUAAAGAGAGUGGUGAUCAAAGUCAGUUUAUGACAUCCGUUGUGUUUCAGAAUUUAUCAACUUCUACUUAUCAUGGUAGUUGCAUUGAUCAAAAUAUAGUAGACAUUGAUGGAUUCAAGAACAAUGUUGAUUUUAUGCAAAUGUUGCCUCUAAAAUCUACUAUGCUUACACACAAUACCAACAAUGGCAGCCAAGAUAUUCAGAAUUAUCACAAUGAUAUGGGUACUACAUUUGAAGCCCCAUUAUUCUUCUCUAAUGGCGUCGAAAAUUAUCAAGAUAUUAGUAGUGGUGAUCAUCAAAACUAUCAUCUUGGGUGCUUUGCUGAAAAUAUAAUGAAUAUUAAUCAUGAGUACAAUAAUGAAAGUGGCGAUCAGAGUCAGUUUAUGCCAUCUGUUGUGUUUCAAAAUUUAUCAACUUCUACUUAUCAAGAUGGUUGCAUUGAUCAAAAUAUGGUGAACGUUGAUGGAAACAAGAACAAUGUUGCUUUUAUGCAGAUGUUGCCUCAAAACUCUACUAUGUUUACACACAAUACCAACAAUGACACCCAAGAUAUUGAGAACUAUCACUAUGAUAUGGGUACUACAUUUGAACCCCCAUUAUUCUUCUCUAAUGGUGUCGAAAAUUAUCAAGAUAUUAGUAAUGAUCAUCAAAACUAUCAUCUUGGUUGCUUUGUUGAAAAUAUAAUGAAUAUUGAUCAUGAGUACAAUGAUGAGAGUGGUGAUCAAAGUCAGUUUAUGUCAUCUGUUGUGUUUCAAAAUUUAUCAACUUCUGCUUAUCAUGGUGGUUCCAUUGAUCAAAAUAUAGUGAACAUUGAUGGAAACAAGAACAAUGUUGAUUUUAUGCAAAUGUUGCCUCUAAAAUCUACUAUGCUUACACACAAUACCAACAAUGGCAGUCAAGAUAUUGAGAAUUAUCACAAUGAUAUGGGUACUACAUUUGAAGCCCCAUUAUUCUUCUCUAAUGGCAUCGAGAGAUGUGCUACGUCUUUUUGUAUUGGUGAUCAAAAUUUUAGUUGGAUGAAUGAUAAGAUCACUACUUCAUAUAGUCAAAAUGAACAAUUUUCACCGUCCAUCUCCUCCAAUGACUUGGAUCACCAUAUUAAUACUUCUUUUGAAUGGGAGUUCAGAGAUGAGAAUCCUUCAUUUCUUCAAGAUAAUGCUACUGGAUUAGUUCCACUAUUUUCUCAUAGUGAUAAAAGCAUAGACAAGCAGAAUUUGUCUGAAUCAAAUUUUAAAGAUAAUAAUUUUUCAGUUACUGGAGCAACAACUGACAAUGACUUGUUUCUUGGUGACGACUAUGUUAAUUCUUCAACAAUGGAGGAUAACACUGAAUUUUUUUCAUUGUUGGAAUAUUUCUUUUCUAGUUGAUUGUAAGCUUUCUCUGUAUUUCCUUUGCAGUGUAAUAAAAUGUUCUUGUGGUCUCUCAACUUUUUCUUUGGCAUAUUGAUCAUAAUAUAAUUCUUAUCAUCCACUAAAUGAUGAAGUAAAUAUGUACGGAAUCAAUAUUUAUAGUCAUCAACUAUGAGAUUAAAAAAAAAAUUCAUACAAAUAUUUUAUACUAAACCAAUCAACUGCAAACUUAAAAAUCUCCCAAAUUAACUUGAAUUAAGAGUUUAUUUUAUUUUACAUUUUAAAUUAAAUAGAUCUUAUUAUUUGGGUUCUUAAUUAGUUUUAAGUUUUUAAUUAAUUAUUUUUUAAAAAAUAUUUUUUUAAAAAAUUUAUUUAUUAUAAUAUAAUUUCAUAAUAUAAGGAUAUCGGCAUUUUAUUUUUUUAAAAAAAGAAUAUCAGCAUUUAUAAUCACUAUCAUUUUUUAUUUCUUUUUUCAGUUGAGGAAACAAAAAAUAAAUAUUAGAAUAUAUUCAAAAAUUAUUAUUAAAUAUGUCAAACUAUAAAAAUAUUUUAUAAAUUAAAGUUUGAGUGAAAACUAAACCAAGCAAACGUAAGUAAACACUUUACUAAAUAUAUGAAUUAAGCCAAUCGAACAAGCGAUUAAUAUAUUUAAGCUUACCGGUACAGAUUUUAUCCCAUAAUCAUUUUAGGGAUGAUUUAAAUUAAAAAUAUAUUUUUAUAAUAAUAUAUAUUUAAUUAAUAUAUUAUUUAAAUUAGAUCGAUUUAGUUAGAAAUUUAAUUAGACAGAAAAUUUAAUUAAAUUUUAAUACUAUUCAAGUUCGAUGAGAUUUUAGAUUUUAAAAUUAUAAGAUUAUAUCAAAAUCGAAGUUUGUAAAAUUCGCUCAAGACUCCAUCUAUUGUUACCCUAAACCGUGUUCAUACCAUAUUAGAAUUGAACUUUGUGAUUCAGCCGGUUGUUUGAACUUAUGAUGGUAUAGAAUCACACGGGUCCACCACCUUUAACUCAUUGAAGAAAAGCUAGACACAACCUUCAAAAAAUUUGAAAAAAGUUUGGAUGUAUCUUCUUUUAAAAGAAAUCAUUUUACCCUGUAAGUCUUUGUUUCUUUCUAAAAAUCUAUCUGGGUGUUACCAUGAAAAUGAUGAAGGCUGUGAAGAAGCUCAAAUUCUGGUCAAGAUCCAGGAAGAAAAGGAAGUACCUUGAGGAGCCCUUCUACCCUGUUCUGGCGCACCAUUGUUGUUGCCGUUCAUGCUCCUCCGUCCAGCCCUCAGCUCCACCAUGGCCUGGUGAAUUCUCAUAUCAGAUUCAAGCUGAUGAAACAGAAAGUGUAGAAGAAAGUAAAUUAAUCCAUUCAAAAUUACCUCAAGUAGACGAAGUUAUAAUCACGAGUAGGUCAAUGUAUCAGCAAUAUAUGGUUGAAAAUCCUGUGUAUGACAUGCCUGAGCCUGUUGUUGAGAUAGUUAGAAGAGAAAGAUCAGGCGGGUACGUUCUUCAGCUGGGUUCUUGUCUGAUCCGCUGCUUCUGCCCAUGUUUCAGUACAGAAGAAGCUCAGUAAAAAAGUGAUUUUGUUAAAUUGUUAGCUUACUUCUUCCUCUAUUUUCUUCUUUUUUUUUUCUUUAAAUUCAGCAAUAGUAAAAAUAUGUUUCUGGAUAUUUUUUUUUGUAAAAAUGCAUUGUCAGUCUUAACUCUGUUGUAUCUAAUAUUUUAACGUAAUAUAAACUUUUAAUAAAAAUUCAUACCUAACUUUGGUUGCAUUCAUACCAAGCGCGGGCAAGAAAGAGCCCCAGCCAACUCCGCUCUGGACGCUAUGAGCUUCUCUAUGCAAUUCUUUAUCUCUUUCUGACUAUUUGUUCUCUGUGUAUUGCUCCUGCAAAAAAGCCAAGCAAAUAAGAGAAUCAAUGAACAAAAAAGUAGUCCUCAAAGAUGCUCAGAUUUAAAAAUACGUAAAGCCGGUGAUUCCGAGUUAUAACGACCUUGCUUCCAGGGGAAAACCAUUCUAGCAUUCCAAUAAUUUUAUCUAAUUCUUCCGAGUCAUCCAAAUCAUCAGGAACAACAAGACUCCUAUAAAGCAUAUAAUUCUUUUGAUCUUACUAAUCCCCUCAUCAACAUUGUUCAACUUGUAUUUUUAAAUCUUGAUAAAUGACCUUGGUGUGAUGUUAUCUGGUGCACAAACAUGUAGUAACUGAUUAAUAGACAAAUUAUCCGCUUAGUGAAUCAACUUUGAUGUAGCCAAUCAAACUAUAUGCCGGAAAUUUUCUGAUUUUAGACUCUGCCAUCACUUUCCUCCAAUUAGCAGCAUCUCCCCACCUUUCCCCAACAGCACUUCUAUUUGACAACACCACAUAUCGGCCACAAUGUUUUGGCUGUAAUUCAAGGACCUUCUUUCCUACCAUUUUCCAACUGAACGUCCCCAUGAAUCUUACAAGCACCAAAAAGAGCUCCUAAAACAGAGGCAUCAGGCAUGAAGGGCAUGCUAAGUGCAAACCCAACUGCAUCUCUCAGAAUUCCUGCUCUGUCCAAUAGAUCAACAACACAACCAUAAUGCUCCAUUAUUGGUACAACCCAAUAUCGACUUGACAUUGACGGAAACAACUUCAAACCCAAGUCAACAAGUUUAGCUCGAGCACAAGCAGUAAGAAUAGCAACAAAGGUAACCUCAUUGGGGCAAAAUCCUUGCGCUUUCAUCUUCUCAAACAUAUAUAGAGCUUGCUUCCCCCUACCAUUGCAGUCCAAGUGAAAACCUCUUUAACCUCUAUCCGAUUGAAUACUCUUAUUGCAGUCUCCAAACAACCUGCCUUUCCAUACAAAUCUACCAACGCAGCCCCCACGACAGCGCUCAAACAUAUCCAUGUAUCUGCUUCCCUUGAUAAAGACCAGUUCCAUCUAAAUUAGCACAAGAAGACAGCACGGUAACAAAUGCAGCCUCAUUAGGCUUCACGGAACCGCGGACCACAUCCUCGUGAACCACCAUCUUUGCCAAAAGUGGCAAUGCAUCAACAAAGCGUCCAUUCAUCACGAACCCAUUAAUGACACUCGUCCAUGAAACCACGUCCUUCUCAUUAAACACCACAAUACAUGGAUGGGGAAUUUCCACAAACAUCUUACGUGCAUUGAGUAUGUCACACACUUCGGCAACUCCACCCUCACGCAUGAAGUUUGCACAUAUGGGUCGCAUAAAACACCCCAUUUGAGAGCCUGAGCAUGGAGAAUUGAGCCAUAUGAGGGAAGCAAGAAGCAGCUUUGAUUAGAGAUGGGAAAGUGAGAUGGUUUGGUGAAAGUCCAUGCGCAAUCAUGCGGGUGAAAAGUAGUAAAGAAGUACGAGAGAGUCCCGUAGAGAGAUAAGAUCAAAUGAGAGUGUUGUAAAUGAGAACGGUGUUCCAUGAAGAAGUGUGGUUGAGGAGAGAGCCGCGGGUGAUAAGAAGGGAAUGAAUCUGUUUGAUCUGGUUGGGACAGUGGAUGAAAUGCUGGAGAAGAAGCUCUGGACUUGAAUAUCCAGAAAACCCACCUGUUACCAGAAGCUUUAAAAUCAAAACUUGAUUACAUGCCUGUUCUUGUCCACCAUCUGCCCAGUUCAUAUAUUAUUAGCAUUCUUGUUCAUAUUUGUUAAUUACAAGAUUUUUGGAUCAAAUUAACAUUUUCUCAUGCUUCUUUCAAUUCAUAUAUAUAUAUAUAUAAAUUUAAUUCCAACCAAAAAUGAAGAAAAUUCUUUUAGUUUACAACUAUUUUUCAAUCUUUCUAAGUUUUCUAACGAAAAACAAAUCCUACGUUGAGAAUUUUUAUUUAGUUUUUAACACUGUGUAUAUUCAUUAAAAUCGAGUCUAAAAGAAUUAUGAACUCAACUUGAAAAAAAACUUUAACAUUAACAAGAUCGAAAACAAAAUUAAUAUUUUAAGUUAUAAAACUUACACAUUAAAAACUAGAAAAUAACCAACCCUAACACCCAAAGAAAAGAAAACGAUAAAAGUAUCCAUGAAGGUUCGGCUCAUUGACAAUUACAAAUUACCAUCUUCAAUUCAUUGACAAUAAUCAUAAAUUACCCUUUUCAAAAAUUCUUAUAUUUCAUUUCGGUCCUUCUAUCUUCGUUUCUCCGCUAAUUUUCUGUAAGGAUUAAUUUGCAAUCGUUAUGCUUGCAACAUCAUUAUGAAAAUUUUUUGCCAUUGUGCAAUAUUUUUACAGUCAAUCGCUUCAGACUUUUCGAGUGUUUGACCUGAUCAUCUUUUAUGCAGAAAAAAUAUAGUAAUAACUCACUUAUUUGGAGUGAUGUUUGGAGAUUGCAAGCUUUAAAUAACAUUUUUAAUAAGAAUGAGAUUGUCAAAUCUUACUAAUUGAACAAAAGCUCAAAGUUCUACAUAAGGAAAAAGAGUUGACAGCCAAACUAUUACCAUAACUUUCGUAAAAUAUAUUUUUUGUGUAAAACUUUAAACUCUACAAAACUAAGGCAAAGUACAAGUUAAUCUAUUGUUGGUUCUGGGUGCUAAUAUAUGAAUGUUCCUGUAGAAGUCUAUCGGAAGUAAGUCGUGCAAGAGGUCAGAAGAAAGGGAAAACACGAUAUGGGAUUUUGUCUGUAGCAAGAUUCUGGUGGACAGAUUGGAGCUGCUAGCGGUAGCUGUUGUUUUCCUCACACGACUUUAUGCAUCAUGUUUAGGUGCAGAUGAUAUUUAGUAAAAAAUAUUUCAUCAGGAAAAAGUGAGACUUGCCUUAUAAAGAAUUUGGGUAUUGCAGUUUUACUGUUUUGUUUUGGCAAGGGAGUGCUUAGUGCUGGUUUAAGUUUUGAGUAAAGAUUAAAAAGUAGUCAGCUCCACCUUUUUUGCAUGAUAUUAAUCAAGGGCUAUAUGCUCUUCCAUCUCAAGUUAUUUUUCUUUUUUGUUCCUUUUAAUUUUUUCUAUGAAUGGGUUGGAUGAGAUGGUACGGUUGGCUUCUGUAUAUAAAUAAUAUAUACAUUUCAUCUCUUUUGAUUUCCAGUACAUGAAUAUUUGACUUGUGAGCAGCUUCUACUGAAAGAGGCUAUUGAAGCAGGUAGCUUUUUUGGUUUUACCUUAUUUCAAUUUAUUCUUCUAUUGAUCCGGAUACAUGUUUAAGUUGUUUUGUUUUUCUUUUCGAGAUUUUCUAUAAUUUUUUACGUGAUUACUCCUCACUGAGUAUCCUAUUAUGUCAUGGAUUGGAAUAUAAUAAGUGAUAAUUCUUCAUUACUGCUAUCAAUGGACAUUAAUUAGGUCAGUAGUAAGGAGAUAUAUAUACUAUUCUAUUUUUUUUAAUCCUGAGUUUGAUUUAUUAGGGGGAGUUUAGGAAUUAGAAUCCUAAAUACAUUAGGUCAAUGUAGAGGAGUGAGUAAGUUAGCAUUUUGAGAAAGAGAUAAUACAAAGUAUAAGAAAUUAGAAAAAACAGUAAAAUAUUUUUAAUUAAAUAUUAAUGCUAUUUAAUUUAUUAUUUUAAAUUUAAUUUUUAGGAAAAAUAAAUAAUAAUUUUUAAAUAUCUAUUUUGUUUUGGUUUAAUUUUAAAAAUAAUAUAUUUUUUUUCUAAAAAAUUCUGUAAUUGACCAAUCUCUUUUUUAAUUUAAAUUUGUAAGUUUAUGAUUAAUUUAUUAUUUUUAUGAUUUUUUUUUGUAUUUUUAAUUUGUUUGUUAUACAUUAUUAUUUUGCUUGCAAAUUAUAGUUAUAAUUAUAAUUAUAAUUAUAAUUAAAUUAAAUUAAAUUAAUUUAAUAGCCCAGUUUUUUCCAACCCAUAACCUACAAACGACAGCGUUUUGGAAGAGGUUAUUGGCGGCAAAAGGGGGGGUUUAAAGGGAAUUUAGAAAGGUUUAGGGGCAAAAUUGGAAAUACAGCUGUUUCCAACGGUCUUCUUCUCUCUAUAUAUAUUGCACCGACCACUCCAUUCUUCUCUCUCUACUCAGCUUUCAGACAGAUCACAUUCCUUCUUCCCUUUCCUCCCGAUUCUCUCUGUUCAUUGGAAACGUUUCGUUUCCUUCCGAUUUCUCUCAAAUUCAAUCGACUGCUUCGACUUUGCUUCUCCGCUCGCUUCUCUGGUAAGGAUCUCCACUGCCGCUUUCUUUUUUUUUUUUCCAUUAAAGAUUCAUAUUGCAAAUUUUCUUCUUUAAUUUUGUCAAACAACUCUUUAAUAUUUGUGGUUCUUUUAAUAUUUGUGAUUCUUUUACGAGAUAAAACAUAAAAUCAUGUACUCUGAGUCAGAUCUGGAAUCCACCGUAACACUCAUUUAGGGAAAAGUCACCAAAAUCUAAGAUCCGUGUAAUCCUUUUUCGGUAACAAACGACCAAUAAAAAAUAUUAAAAAAGAAACCCAGAAAAUCCUCUGUGAAAAUAAAAAAACGAAAAGAGAUCAAAACCCUAGAUCUUGAAAUAAGACUGAUUACUUCUCCCUGGUUUUUCUGUAAUUAGGUUGUGUGGAGUUUUGGAUUGGAGAAUCUUGAAAUGAAUCUGUAAAAUGCAAUCUUUGUAAUGUUAUUAAAGUUUGAGCUCACCAUUACAACGUAAUGGCCUCAAACCCCAUGGAGGAGUCCUAAUCAUAAUGUAUCUUUGUUUUUUAACUGGGUACAAAUUGCAAUGGUGGUGGUUCUGCUAUUUGGGGUUUGAGGACUAAUUAUAAUGUAUAUAAUUUUUAUUUAGUUUGAGGACAAACUACAAUUGUAUAAUGGAUUGUAUUAUUACAGGUUCUCUGCGUAUUAUUAUGUUUGUUAUUUCAAUUAUUCAGGAUUUAGAGUUAAAAUUCCAAUGUAUAUCAAUUUUUAUUGGAUGAGAAGCCUAUUAGGUUCUAUUAUUAUUAUUAUAUAUUUUUUCAAUUAGUUGUACUCAAAUUAUGGGUUUUGGAUCUUGUGGUUGUAUUCCAUAUUACAAUAUGUACGUAAUAUUUGUAGGCGUCAAGUCUGUUUAUUUAUCUUCUAAUAUUGUUAUUAAGUUUUGUUAUACUUUUUACAGGUUGUAUAUAAUAUUUAUAAGUUUUGAGCCUAUAGGAUUGUAUUUUUAUUAUUUUCGUCAUGAUAUUACCCACAUUAUUGUAUUUGAAUAAUGGAUUUCGGAUCAUUUGGUUGUAUUCCGUAUUACAAUAUAUAUGUAAUAUUCAUAGGUAUCAAGCCUAUUGAAUUGUUUUAAUAUUGUUAGGAAGUUUUGUUAUAUUUUUUACGGGUUGUAUGUAAUAGUUAUAAAGUUCGAGCCUAUUGCGUUGUAAUAUUAUUAUUAUCAUGAUGAUAUGACACACAAUAUUGAUUUUGAAUUAUGGGUUUCAAAUAUUUUAGUUUCAUUCAACAAUAUAAUGAAUGUAACGAAGCCCAUUGACUUGUAUUUUUUGUCUAUAUAAUUAAACUAUAUUCUUAUUAUUAUGAAGUUUAUUAACUUUUAUGGGUUUUAUAAGUUGCUAAACUCAGUUGUAUUAUUAUUAUUAUUAACGAGCACAAAUUAUAAUUUGAUUUUAACUAAGUUGAAGUGUAUGUUAUUUGUAUUGACAUGGAGCCGAAUGGGAUUGUAAUAAUAUUUUUGCGAUGAAUUUUAUUAUUGCUAUUAUUUAUGAUAUAUUAUGGAGAGUUGAACCGAAUUGUAAUGCAUAUUAUAUUUUUUUGAUGUGUUUGUAAAAUUUAAUUGCAUCUAAAAUUGUAUUGACCGACAACAAGGUUUAAUCUUCAAAUUUUAACAAGCAAAUAAGAUUAAAUUAAAAUAUUAUAAUAUUAAAAAUGUUAUACUAAGACAUUAUCAAUUUACUUCUUCAAUUUGAUGGUAAAUAAGACUUAAAUUGAAAUAAAAAAUAAACUGAAUUUUGUUGGCGAACUUAAUUUCUUAGUUUGUAAAUAAGAAUGUUAAUUAUUUGACAUACAAGUAUAUUUAUACAGUAUAUUGUGCUAUAUCCAGUAAUUAUAAUGUAUAAUAUUUGUGUAAAACAAUUAUAGUGUAUUGGUUUGCUAGAAAAUAGUAAUAUAAUGAAUUGUAUUCUAAAUUACAAUAAGUAUUUUUUUAGUGAGAUGAAAGUUGACGUAUUGUAAUAUUUUUAUCAGAAAGUUUCACCUACAAUUCGAUCAGAAAAAAUGAGUGCAACUACUUGCAGUUCAGUGAAAAAAAGAAAAAUUCCAACGCAAAAACGUGAAACAAAAAAGCAGAGAGUUGUUACAUUCAGUAAAAGAGGAACGGGUCUGUUUAACAAAGCAGCAGAAUUGUGUGUUCUCUGCAAUGCUCAGGUUGUAAUUUUGGUUUCUGCUCCUUUGGCCAAAGAAAAGUUUUAUACUUUUGCACACCCUAACAUCAAUCUUCUUCUCGACACAUUCCUCAAUAACCAUGUCUCUCAUCCCAUCAACAAUUACAAUAAUCUUUCUACUUCUUCGUCUCAUCAAAAUAUGGAGCAAUUAACUCCUAACAAUAAUGUGUCCAAGACCAAGAAGAGAAAGAGAGAGUCUGAAGAGUUUUGGGGGGAAAAUGAAGACUUUGAUGUUUACCAAACACCUGAAGAGGUGACAUCAAUCAUCGAGAAGUUAGAAAAUGUGAGAGAAAAUGUGGCGCUCAAACUUCAAAAAUUAUCAACUUCUAAUAAUCAAGAUAUUAACAGUAGCGAUCAUCAAAACUAUCAUCUUGGGUGCUUUGCUGAAGAUAUAAUGAACAUUAAUAAUGAGUACAGUAAAGAGAGUGGUGAUCAAAGUCAGUUUAUGACAUCCGUUGUGUUUCAGAAUUUAUCAACUUCUACUUAUCAUGGUAGUUGCAUUGAUCAAAAUAUAGUGGACAUUGAUGGAUUCAAGAACAAUGUUGAUUUUAUGCAAAUGUUGCCUCUAAAAUCUACUAUGCUUACACACAAUACCAACAAUGACAGCCAAGAUAUUGAGAAUUAUCACAAUGAUAUGGGUACUACAUUUGAAGCCCCAUUAUUCUUCUCUAAUGGCGUCGAAAAUUAUCAAGAUAUUGGUAGUGGUGAUCAUCAAAACUAUCAUCUUGGGUGCUUUGCUGAAAAUAUAAUGAAUAUUAGUCAUGAGUACAAUAAUGAAAGUGGCGAUCAGAGUCAGUUUAUGUCAUCUGUUGUGUUUCAAAAUUUAUCAACUUCUACUUAUCAAGAUGGUUGCAUUGAUCAAAAUAUGGUGAACGUUGAUGGAAACAAGAACAAUGUUGCUUUUAUGCAGAUGUUGCCUCUAAACUCUAUUAUGUUUACACACAAUACCAACAAUGGCACCCAAGAUAUUGAGAACUAUCACUGUGAUAUGGGUACUACAUUUGAACCCCCAUUAUUUUUCUCUAAUGGCAUCGAGAGAUGUGCUACGUCUUUUUGUAUUGGUGAUCAAAAUUUUAGUUGGAUGAAUGAUAAGAUCACUACUUCAUACAGUCAAAAUGAACAAUUUUCACCAUCCUUCUCCUCCGAUGACUUGGAUCACCAUAUCAAUACUUCUUUUGAGUGGGAAUUCAGAUAUGAGAAUCCUUCAUUUCUUCAAGAUAAUGCUACUGGAUUAGUUCCACUAUUUUCUCAUAGUGAUAAAGGCAUAGACAAGCAGAAUUUGUCUGAAUCAAAUUUUAAAGAUAAUAGUUUUUCAGUUACUGGAGCAACAACUGACAAUGACUUGCUUCUUGGUGACGACUAUGUUAAUUCUUCAACAAUGGAGGAUAACACUGAAUUUUUUUCAUUGUUGGAAUCUUUCUUUUCUAGUUGAUUGUAAGCUUUCUCUGUAUUUCCUUUGCAGUGUAAUAAAAUGUUCUUGUGAUCUCUCAAUUUUUUCUUUGGCAUAUUGAUCAUAGUUUAAUUCUUAUCAUCCCCUAAAUGAUGAAGUAAAUGUGUACGGAAUCAAUAUUUAUAGUCAUCAACUAUGAGAUUAAAAAAGAAAAAUUCAUACAAAUAUUUUAUACUCGACCAAUCAACCCCAAACUUAAAAAUCUCCCAAAUUAACUAGAAUUAAGAGUUAAUUUUAUUUUAUAUUUUAAAUUAAAUAGCUCUUACUUAUUAUUUGGGUUCUUAAUUAGUUUUAAAUUUUUAAUUAAUUAUUUUUUAAAAAAUAUUUAGAACAAAAUUUUAUUUAUUAUAAUAUAAUUUCAUAAUAUAAGGAUAUCGGCAUUUUAUUUUUCUAAAAAAAGAUAUCAACAUUUAUAAUUACUAUCAUUUUUUAUUUCUUUUUUCAGUUGAAAAAACAAAAAAUAAAUAUUAGAAUAUAUUCAAAAAUUUAUGUCAAACUAUAAAAAUAUUUUAUAAAUUAAAGUUUGGGUGAAAACUAAACCAAACAAACGUAAAUAAACACUUUACUAAAUAUAUGAAUUAAGCCAAUCGAACAAGCGAUUAAUAUAUUUAAACUUACCGGUAAAGAUUUUAUCCCAUAAUCAUUUUAGGGAUGAUUUAAAUUAAAAAUAUAGUUUUAUAGUAAUAUAUAUUUAAUUUAAAUAACAUAUUUAUAUAUAAUAUAUUAUUUAAAUUAUGUAGAUUUAAUCAGAAAUUUAAUUAGAUACAAAAUUUAAUUAAAUUUUAAUACUACUCAAGUUUAAUGAACUUUUAGAUUUUAAAAUUAUAAGAUUAUAUCGAAAUCGAAGUUUAUAAAAUUCGCUCAAGAUUCCAUCUAUUGUUACCCUAAACCGUGUUCAUACCAUAUUAGAAUUGAACUUUGUGAUUCAGCCGGUUGUUUGAACUUAUGAUGGUAUAGAAUCACACGGGUCCACCACCUUUAACUCAUUGAAGAAAAGCUAGACACAACGGUCAAAAAAUUUGAAAAAAGUUUGGAUGUAUCUUCUUUUAAAAGAAAUCAUUUUACCCUAUAAGUCUUUGUUUCUUUCUAAAAAUCUAUCUGGGUGUUACCAUGAAAAUGAUGAAGGCUGUGAAAAAGCUCAAAUUCUGGUCAAGAUCCAGGAAGAAAAGGAAGUACCUUGAGGAGCCCUACUACCCUGUUCUGGCGCACCAUUGCUGUUGCUGUUCAUGCUCCUCCGUCCAGCCCUCAGCUCCUCCAUUGCCACCAUGGCCUGAUGAAUUCUCAUAUCAGAUUCAAGCUGAUAAAACAGAAGGUGUAGAAGAAAGUAAAUUAAUCCAUUCAAAAUUACCUCAAGUAGACGAAGGUAUAAUCACAAGUAGGUCAAUGUAUCAGCAAUAUAUGGUUGAAAAUCAUGUGUAUGACAUGCCUGAGCCUGUUGUUGAGAUAGUUAGAAAAGAAAGAUCAGGCGGGUACGUUGUUCUUCAGCUGGGUUCUCGUCUGAUCCGCUGCUUCUGCCCAUGUUUCAGUAUAGAAGAAGCUAGGUAAAAAAGUGAUCUUCUUAAUUUGUUAGCAUACUUCUUCCUCCUAUUUUUUUUUUUUUAAAUUAAGCAAAGGUAAAAAUAUGUUCUGUACCUUUUUUUUGUGAAAAAGAAUUUUCAAUCUUAACUUUAUUGUACCUAAUAUUUUAAUGUAAUAUAAAGUUUUAAUAAAAAUUCAUACCUAACUUUGGUUGCAUUCACACCAAGCGCGGGCAAGAAAGAGCCUCAGCCAACUCCACUGUGGACGCUAUGAGCUUCUCUAUGCAAUUCUUUCUCUCUUUCUGACUAUUUGUUCUCUGUGUAUUUGCUCUUGCAAAAAAGCCAAGCAAAUAUGAGAAUCAAUGAACAAAAAAUUAGUCCUCAAAGAUGCUCAGAUUUAAAAAUACGUAAAGCUGGUGAUUCCUAAUUAUAAUGAUUUUGCUUCCAGGGGAAAACCAUUCUAGCAUUCCAAUUAUUUUAUCUAAAUGUCCCGAGUCAUCCACAUCAUCGGGAACAACAAGAACUCCUAUAAAGCAUAUAAUUCUUUUUUAUCUUACUAAUCCCCUCAUCAACAUUGUUGAACUUGUAUUUCUAAAUCUUGAUAAAUCCAAAAGAAGUUGUUCUUGUAAGUGAAGCAAACCGUGGAAAUUGUGCAGCAGUUGCUCUGACGUCUGCAAGAAAUCUUCUGUCUCUGAAUUUUUAAAUGUUCAUGUUAUAAACAGUCUUAGCAAAUAUCGUCUUCCCUGUCCCUGCAAUCCCACUUGCUAUGUCAACUCCAUUUGAUCCAUCUUGAGUUCAGGCUUGAUUUCUUCUCCAAGAUCAUCUCUUCCAACUAACUAUUGGGUGACAUCGAACAGUGCCUCAUGCCUGCCUAGAGAAAAAAAAAACGAAAGUUAUGAUUGUUUCCCAACUGCUGAAAUUUAGUAAAAAUCUCAACAAGCAGAGAACGUAGAGUUUUGAAAAUAACAGUUACACUAACCAAGUAAAUAUAAUUUAUUAUAUGCACAGUUAUCCAUGUAAAUUGAUAAUUUAAAUUUGAGAAGUGUGUUAUGGAGCACAUAUAAAAAUAAAAAUCCAUAAAACACAGGAAACUUAUAUAUUUCACAAUGCUUUCGACAAAAUUAUGGCCGUGUCUCUAAACCCUCUGCUCUAGAAUUAACACAAAGAAAAUGCAUGGUAAUAGUUUGUAGUUUAUUGAGAAGAAAGCUGAGAUCAAGCUUACAUAUGUCACAAAAAUCAUUCCUCCCAAGUCAGCAACCUCCCUCGCAGCACCUCAGCUGUUGUAUUUUGUUCUUUACAUCUUUUAGGUGCUCUUCAUGUGCGGCAAUUGUUUCAGAAAAACUCCCUCGCAGUAUACUUCCUAACAUGUGUUGGAUCUACUUCAUAGAACACUGGCAAGAUAUCUGUUCAGUGGUUCUCCUGUGUUACAUGAUCUUACCUAGUUCAUCAGGAAACCACAGAGAAGAGUCACAAUUUUAGGAGAAGAUAAUUAUUUAUAUUGAGACUCCAAUGGCUUUUUCAAGUUAUUUUAUUCAUAUCCUUUCCUCUUUCAACCCCAUCAUCAUAUUUAGAUGUACGAAUUCCUGCCCGCAGUAGGGCCCUAUAAAGGUGAUCCGUGAAGCUCCAGCACCUCGUAAACUUAAGAACAUAUACUAAGCAUAUCCAGAACAUGAGGAGGAAGCUCGCUGCUCUGCACUCGCUGCAUCCAUUGAUAACCAAAAAUUUCAGGAGUAUCGAUUGAAAGCAGAUGGGUGAUGAAUAGAUAAUAAAGCACCAAGGAUCGACAUAAAUUUGUUGGCUCAAGCAAAUCAAUUAUGAUAUUUUUUUGGAGGAAAUUUCCACUUUAACAAUCAUGAUAAGCCAGUGAGCUAAAUCACAUCUUACCAUUUGCCUUUAACAAAAUUUCCGUCUUCUUUAAUUACUCCAACAAUGCAUUUUAGCUUUUACAAGGUAUUAAUUAAUAACUACAUGUGAUAAAUACAGAGGACUUUUAGGUAUUCUUGAUUAGAUCCUAGAAUUGAUCGGAUCCUAGAGUUCUCUUCUAGGACCAAUUAUCAUUUAAGUACCAUAACUUCAUACUACAUUAAAAAUUAUCCAUAAGAUUUUGAGUUCCAUUCAAUUAGAUACUCUAAUCUUUAAUUAGUCUCCCAAUACAUCUAUCACCAUACAAAUACCUGAAGAAAAUCUCAUCCCUAACAGUCUAACCAUGUAAAUGCUUCCUUUUAUAAAUGCCACCUUAAUUUAAGUUAACAUAAUAAUUAGAAAGGGCUUUGCAAACCCUCCAGCUUCAUCCUCAUGCAUCAUCAUCUAUGAAAAAACCUAAUUGCCUUACUAAAAGCAAUUCACAAACUAAUUAAUAAUACUUAAUCCAUUAACACAUCCUUCCUAGGAAAACUUUCUGAAUAAAAAUAGCAAAUUCAUGUCUCAAGAAUCGAUUCCACAUAUAAAAUAAUUCUAAAAACGUUUUACGUGUUUUAUCUAUCACUCACAUAUAAAAUUUGCUUCAUAUUCACAUAAACAACUCAGUAGUCAACCAAAUCUAUCAAUUGUCACUUAUAGAAAUUAUGACCUAAAAAUCCCUUCUAGUAUCUGUAUUCCCAUAUACUAGGUUAAUCUUACAACUAGAGGAAAAAAGAUAAAUCACAUCAGAAUCCCGGAUGUAGAAACCUUACUCAAAUUCGGUCAAUAGGUAAAUGUCCUUUGUGUGAUGUUAUCUGGUGCACAAACAUGUAUGAACUGAUUAAUAGACAAAUUAUCCGCUUAGUGAAUCAACUUUGACCGAGCCAAUCAAACUACAUGCUGGAAUUUUUCGGAUUUUAGACUCUGCCAUCACUUUCCUCCAAUUAGCAGCAUCUCCCCACCUUUCCCCAACGGCACUUACAUCUGACAACACGAAAUAUCGGCCACAAUGUUUUGGCUGUAAUUCCCAACUGAGCUUCUUUCCUACUUCAUUUCCCAACUGAACGUCCCCAUGAAUCUUACAAGCACCAGAAAGAGCUCCCAAAACAGAGGCAUCAGGCAUGAAGGGCAUGCUAAGUGCAAACCCAACUGCAUCUCUCAGAAUUCCUGCUCUGCCCAAUAGAUCAACAACACAGCCAUAAUGCUCCAUUAUUGGUACAAUCCCAUAUCGACUUGACACUGACGGAAACAACUUCAAACCCAAGUCAACAGGUUUUGCUCGAGCACAAGAUGUAAGAAUAGCAACAAAGGUAACCUCAUUGGAGCAAAAUCCUUGCACUUUCAUCUUCUCAAACAUACAUAGAGCUUGCUUCGCCCUGCCAUGACAGGCAAGUGAAGAAAUCAUUGGAUUCCAAGUGAAAACCUCUUUAACCUCUAUCCGAUUGACUACUCUUUUUGCAGUCUCCAAACAACCUGCCUUUCCAGACAAAUCUACCAACGCAGCCCCCACGACAGCGCUCAAACUGAACCCAUUCUUAACAACAUAUCCAUGUAUCUGCUUCCCUUGAUAAAGACCAGUUCCAUCUAAAUUAGCACAAGAAGACAGCACAGUAACAAAUGUAGCCUCAUUAGGCUUCACGGAACCGCGGACCACAUCCUCGUGAUCCAUCAUCUUUGCAAAAAUCCGCAAUGCAUCAAGUCCAUUCAUCACGAACCCAUUAAUAACACUCGCCCAUGAAACCACAUCCUUCUCGGGCAUGCUCUGGAAAUACAGAAAAGCAGAACCCAUGUCUCCAUUCCUCCCAAAAGCGUCAAGUAAAGCAUUACACGCUACAAUACAUGGAUGAGGAAUUUCCACAAACAUCUCACGUGCAUUGCGUAUGUCACACACUUCGUCGUCACACAUUCACGGAUGAAGUUUGCACAAAUGGGUCGCAUAAAACACCCCAUUUGAGAGCAUGAGCAUGGAGAAUUGGACCAGAUGAGGGAGAGCAAGAAGCAGCUUUGAUUAGAGAUGGGAAAGUGAGAUGGUUUGGUGAAAGUCCCUGUGAAAUCAUGCGGGUGAAAAGUAGUAAAGAAGUACGAGAGAGUCCCGUAGAGAGAUAAGAUCAAAUGAGAGUGUUGUAAAUGAGAACGGUGUUCCAUGAAGAAGUGUGGUUGAGGAGAGAGCCGCGGGUGAUAAGAAGGGAAUGAAUCUGUUUGAUCUGGUUGGGACAGUGGAUGAAAUGCUGGAGAAGAAGCUCUGGACUUGAAUAUCCAGAAAACCCACCUGUUACCAGAAGCUUUAAAAUCAAAACUUGAUUACAUGCCUGUUCUUGUCCACCAUCUGCCCAGUUCAUAUAUUAUUAGCAUUCUUGUUCAUAUUUGUUAAUUACAAGAUUUUUGGAUCAAAUUAACAUUUUCUCAUGCUUCUUUCAAUUCAUAUAUAUAUAUAUAUAUAUAUAAAUUUAAUUCCAACCAAAAAUGAAGAAAAUUCUUUUAGUUUACUAUUUAUUUUGUGUGUUUUAAAAUAAUAAUAAUUAUUAAAUUUUAUUAAACUUAACGAGAAAAAUAUAUUUAUUUUAUUUAAUCUAUUCAAUCAUAUUAUUAAUAAAUUAAAAAAAGUUCGAUUACAACUAUUUUUCAAUCUUUCUAAUUUUUUUAAUGAAAAACAAAUCCUACUUAGAGAAUUUUUAUUAAGUUUUUAACACUUUGUAUAUUAAUUAAAAUCGAGUCUAAAAGAAUUAUGAACUCAACUUGAAAAAAAACUUUAACAUUCACAAGAUCGAGAACAAAAUUAAUAUUUUAAGUUAUAAAACUUACACAUUAAAAACUAGAAAAUAACCAACCCUAAUACCCAAAGAAAAGAAAGCGAUAAAAGUAUCCAUGAAGGUUCGGCUCAUUGAAAAUCACAAAUUACCAUCUUCAAUUCAUUGACAAUAAUCAUAAAUUACCCUCUUCGAAAAUUCUUAUAUUUCAUUUCGGUCCUUCUAUCUUCGUUUCUCCGCUAAUUUUUCAUAAUGAUUAAUUUGCAAUCGUUAUGCUUGCAACAUCAUUGUGAAAAUUGUCUACCACUGUGCAAUAUGCUUGCAGUCAAUUGCUUCAGACUUUUGGAGUAUUUGACUCGAUCAUCUUAUAUGCAUAAAUAAUAUAGUAAUACCCCACUCAUUUAGAGUGUUAUCUUGAGGUUGUAGGUUUUAGAGAGACUUUUUAAAAAGCAUGAGAUUGUCAAAUCUUACUAAUUGAACACUAGCUCAGAGUUCUACAACAAAGAAAAAAAAAAAAUUGACAGCCAAACUAUUACCAUAACCUUCGUAAAAUACAUUUUUGUGUAAAACUUUGAGCUUCACAAGACUAGGGCAAAGAACAAGUUCAUCUAUUGUUAGUUCCGGGCUAUAAUAUAUGAAUGUUCAUGCAUAAGCCUAUGGGAAGUAAGUCAUGCAAGAGGUCAGAAUAAAGGAAACACACGAUAUGGAGUUUUGUCUGUAGUAGGAUUUUGGUGGACAGAUUGGAACUGCUAGGAGUAGCUGCUGUAUUCCUCACACGACUUUAUGUAUCUUGUUUAGGUGGAGUAUGGUAUUUAGUGAAAAAUAUUUCAUCAGGAAAGAAUGAGACUUGCCUUAUAAAGACUUUGGGUAUUGCAGUUUUACUGUUUUGUUUCGGCAAUGGAGUGCUUAGUGCUGGUUCAAGUUUUGGGUAAAGACUGAAAACUAGUCAGCUCCACCUUCCUUGCAUGAUAUUAAUCAAGGGCUAUAUGCUCUUCCAUCUCAAGUUGUUUUUCUUUUUUGUUCCUUUUAUUUUUUCUACGAAUGAGCUGGAUGAAAUAGUACGGUUGGCUUCUAUAUAUAAAUAAUAUAUACCUUUAAUCUCUUUUGAUUUUCGGUACAUGAAUAUAUGACUUGUGAACAGCUUCUCCUGAAGGAAAUUAUUGAAGCAGGUAGUCUCUUUUAUUUUAUCUUAUUUCAACUUAUUCUUCUAUUGAUCCGAAUACAUAUUUAAGUUAUUUUGUUUUUCUUUUCGAGAUUUUCUAUAGUUUUUUAUGUGAUUAUUCCUUACUGAGUAUCCUAUUAUGGUAUAGAUUGGAAUAUAAUAAGUAAUAAUUUUUCAUUACUGCUAUCAAUGAACAUUAAUUAGAUAAGUUGUAAGGGAAUAUAUAUACUAUUCUAUUUUUUCUAUUCUGAGUUUGAUUUAUUAAGGGGAGUUUAGGAAUCAGAAUCUUAAAUUCAUUAGAUCAAUGUGGAAGAGUCAUUAAGUUAACAUUUUGAGACAAUAAAAUAUUUUUAUUAAAUAUUAGUGCAAUUUAAUUUGUUGUUUUAAAUUUAAUUUAUUAGUAUUAUUUGUGAUAUUGUUUCAAAAUUAUUUUUAAAAAAAUCAUGUCUUCAUAUAAUAUUUAACCUUCACCUUGAAAAAAUUAAAAUAAUGAUAUAUUUAAUUAACUAAUUUGAUAAUAUACAUUCAAUUUAAUAUUUAUUCGUAUAGUCGUAUAAUUUAAUAAAUUAUUAAAUAUAAAGAUAAAGAUAUAAGAUAUUUAUUAUUAAGUAUACUUUUAUAAUAGCUUUAGUUUCAAAGUUUGAUUUAAUAGUUAAAUUUAAUUUUUAGGAAAAAUAAAUAAUAAUUUUUAAGUAUAUAUUUUAUGAUUUUUUUGGUAUUUUUAAUUUGUUUGUUAUACAUUAUUAUUUUGCUUGCAAAUUAUAGUUAUAAUUAUAAUUAUAAUUAAAUUAAUUUAAUAGCCCAGUUUUUUCCAACCCAUAACCUACAAACGACAGCGUUUUGGAAGAGGUUAUUGGCGGGAAGGGGGAGGGUUUAAAGGGAAUUUAGAAAGGUUUAGGGGCAAAAUUGGAAAUACAGCUGUUCCCAACGGUCUUCUUCUCUCUAUAUAUAUUGCACCGACCACUCCAUUCUUCUCUACUCAGCUUUCAGACAGAUCACAUUCCUUCUUCCCUUUCCUCCCGAUUCUCUCUGUUCAUUGGAAGCGUUUCGUUUCCUUCCGAUUUCUCUCAAAUUCAAUCGACUGCUUCGACUUUGCUUCUCCGCUCGCUUCUCUGGUAAGGAUCUCCACUGCCGCUUUUUUUUUUUUUUUUCCAUUAAAGAUUCAUAUUGCAAAUUUUCUUCUUUAAUUUUGUCAAACAACUCUUUAAUAUUUGUGGUUCUUUUAAUAUUUGUGAUUCUUUUACGAGAUAAAACAUAAAAUCAUGUACUCUGAGUCAGAUCUGGAAUCCACCGUAACACUCAUUUAGGGAAAAGUCACCAAAAUCUAAGAUCCGUGUAAUCCUUUUUCGGUAACAAACGACCAAUAAAAAAUAUUAAAAAAGAAACCCAGAAAAUCCUCUGUGAAAAUAAAAAAACGAAAAGAGAUCAAAACCCUAGAUCUUGAAAUAAGACUGAUUACUUCUCCCUGGUUUUUCUGUAAUUAGGUUGUGUGGAGUUUUGGAUUGGAGAAUCUUGAAAUGAAUCUGUAAAAUGCAAUCUUUGUAAUGUUAUUAAGGUUUGAGCUCACCAUUACAACGUAAUGGCCUCAAACCCCAUGGAGGAGUCCUAAUCAUAAUGUAUCUUUGUUUUUUAACUGGGUACAAAUUGCAAUGGUGGUGGUUCUGCUAUUUGGGGUUUGAGGACUAAUUAUAAUGUAUAUAAUUUUCAUUUAGUUUGAGGACAAACUACAAUUGUAUAAUGGAUUGUAUUAUUACGGGUUCUCUGCAUAUUAUUAUGUUUGUUAUUUCAAUUAUUCGGGGCUUAUAGUGAAAUCCAAUGUAUAUUAUUUUUAUUGGAUGAGAAGCCUAUUGGGUUCUAUUAUUAUUAUAUAUAUUAUAUAUUAGUUGUACUCAAAUUAUGGGUUUUGGAUCUUGUGGUUGUAUUCCAUAUUACAAUCUGUAUGUAAUAUUUGUAGGCGUCAAGUCUGUUUAUUUAUCUUCUAAUAUUGUUAUUAAGUUUUGUUAUACUUUUUACAGGUUGUAUAUAAUAUUUAUAAGUUUUGAGCCUAUAGGAUUGUAUUUUUAUUAUUUUCGUCAUGAUAUUACCCACAUUAUUGUAUUUGAAUAAUGGAUUUCGGAUCAUUUGGUUGUAUUCCGUAUUACAAUAUAUAUGUAAUAUUCAUAGGUAUCAAGCCUAUUGAAUUGUUUUAAUAUUGUUACGAAAUUUUGUUAUAUUUUUUACUGGUUGUAUGUAAUAGUUAUAAAGUUCGAGUUUAUUGCGUUGUAAUAUUAUUAUUAUCAUGAUGAUACGACACACAAUAUUGUAUUUGAAUUAUGAGUUUCGGAUCAUUUGGUUGUAUUCCAUAUUACAAUAUGUAUGUAAUAUUCAUAGACAUCAAGCCUAUUGAAUUGUUUUAAUAUUGUUAUGAAAUUUUGUUAUAUUUUUUACGGAUCGUAUAUAAUAUUUAUAAGCUUUGAGCCUAUUGGGUUGUAUUAUUAUUAUUAUCAUCCUAAUAUUACAUACAUUAGUGUAUUUGAAUUAUAGAUUUCGGAUCAUUUGGUUGUAUUCAAUAUUACAAUAUAUAUGUAAUAUUCAUAGGUAUCAAGCCUAUUGAAUUAUUUUAAUAUUGUUACGAAGUUUUGUUAUAUUUUUUACGGAUUGUAUGUAAUAGUUAUAAGUUUCGAGCCUAUUUCGUUGUAAUAUUAUUAUUAUCACGAUGAUAUGACACAAUAUUGUAUUUGAAUUAUGAGUUUCGGAUCAUUUGGUUGUAUUCCAUAUUACAAUAUGUAUGUAAUAUUCAUAGGUAUAAAGCCUAUUGAAUUGUUUUAAUAUUGUUACGAAAUUUUGUUAUAUUUUUUACGGGUUGUAUGUAAUAGUUAUAAGUUUCGAGCCUAUUUCGUUGUAAUAUUAUUAUUAUUAUUAUGAUAUGACACACAAUAUUGUUUUUGAAUUAUGGGUUUCAAAUUUUUUAGUUUCAUUCAACAAUAUAAUGAAUGUAACGAAGCUCAUUGACUUGUAUUUUUUUUCUUAGAUAAUUAAACUAUAUUCUUAUUAUUACGAAGUUUAUUAACUUUUAUGGGUUUUAUAAGUUGCUAAACUCAAUUGUAUUAUUGUUAUUAUUAAUUUUUUUUUUAAAGUUGUGGGCCGAACUCAAAUUAUAAUUUGAUUUUAACCAAGUUUUAAGUGUAUGUUAUUUGUAUUGACAUGGAGCCAAAUGGGAUUGUAAUAAUAUUUUUGCGAUGAAUUUCAUUAUUGCUAUUAUUUAUGAUAUCUUAUGGAGGGUUGAACCGAAUUGUAAUGCAUAUUAUAUUUUUUUGAUGUGUUUGUAAAAUUUAAUUGCAUCUAAAAUUGUAUUGACCGACAACAAAGUUUAAUCUUCAAAUUUUAACAAGCAAAUAAGAUUAAAUUAAAACAUUAUAAUAUUAAAAAUGUUAUACUAAGACAUUAUCAAUUUACUUCUUCAAUUUGAUGGUAAAUAAGACUUAAAUUGAAAUAAAAAAUAAACUGAAUCUUGUUGGUGAACAUAAUUUCUUAGUUUGUAAAUAAGAAUGUUAAUUAUUUGACAUACAAGUAUAUUUAUACAGUAUAUUGUGCUAUAUCCGGUAAUUAUAAUGUAUAAUAUUUGUGUAAAACAAUUAUCGUGUAUUGGUUUGCUAGAAAAUAGUAAUAUAAUGAAUUGUAUUCUCAAUUUCAAUGAGUAUUUUUUUAGUGAGAUGAAAGUUGACGUAUUGUAAUAUUUUUAUCAGAAAGUUUCACCUACAAUUCGAUCAGAAAAAAUGAGUGCAACUACUUGCAGUUCAGUGAAAAAAAGAAAAAUUCCAAUGCAAAAACGUGAAACAAAAGAGCAGAGAGCUGUUACAUUCAGUAAAAGACGAACGGGUCUGUUUAACAAAGCAGCAGAAUUGUGUGUUCUCUGCAAUGCUCAGGUUGUAAUUUUGGUUUCUGCUCCUUUGGCCAAAGAAAAGUUUUAUACUUUUGCACACCCUAACAUCAAUCUUCUUCUCGACACAUUCCUCAAUAACCAUGUCUCUCAUCCCAUCAACAAUUACAAUAAUCUUUCUACUUCUUCCUCUUAUCAAAAUAUGGAGCAAUUAACUCCUAACAAUAAUGUGUCCAAGACCAAGAAGAGAAAGAGAGAGUCGGAAGAGUUUUGGUGGGAAAAUGAAGACUUUGAUGUUUACCAAACACCUGAAGAGGUGACAUCAAUCAUCGAGAAGUUAGAAAAGGUGAGAGAAAAUGUGGCGCUCAAACUUCAAAAAUUAUCAACUUCUAAUAAUCAAGAUGUUAGUAGUAGUCAUCAUCAAAACUAUCAUCUUCGGUGCUUUGCUGAAGAUAUGAUGAACAUUAAUAAUGAGUACAGUAAAGAGAGUGGUGAUCAAAGUCAGUUUAUGACAUCCGUUGUGUUUCAGAAUUUAUCAACUUCUACUUAUCAUGGUAGUUGCAUUGAUCAAAAUAUAGUGGACAUUGAUGGAUUCAAGAACAAUGUUGAUUUUAUGCAAAUGUUGCCUCUAAAAUCUACUAUGCUUACACACAAUACCAACAAUGGCAGCCAAGAUAUUCAGAAUUAUCACAAUGAUAUGGGUACUACAUUUGAAGCCCCAUUAUUCUUCCCUAAUGGCGUCGAAAAUUAUCAAGAUAUUAGUAGUGGUGAUCAUCAAAACUAUCAUCUUGGGUGCUUUGCUGAAAAUAUAAUGAAUAUUAAUCAUGAGUACAAUAAUGAAAGUGGCGAUCAGAGUCAGUUUAUGCCAUCUGUUGUGUUUCAAAAUUUAUCAACUUCUACUUAUCAAGAUGGUUGCAUUGAUCAAAAUAUGGUGAACGUUGAUGGAAACAAGAACAAUGUUGCUUUUAUGCAGAUGUUGCCUCUAAACUCUACUAUGUUUACAGACAAUACCAACAAUGGCACCCAAGAUAUUGAGAACUAUCACUAUGAUAUGGGUACUACAUUUGAACCCCCAUUAUUUUUCUCUAAUGGCAUCGAGAGAUGUGCUACGUCUCUUUGUAUUGGUGAUCAAAAUUUUAGUUGGAUGAAUGAUAAGAUCACUACUUCAUACAGUCAAAAUGAACAAUUUUCACCGUCCUUCUCCUCCAAUGACUUGGAUCACCAUAUCAAUACUUCUUUUGAAUGGGAGUUCAGAGAUGAGAAUCCUUCAUUUCUUCAAGAUAAUGCUACUGGAUUAGUUCCACUAUUUUCUCAUAGUGAUAAAGGCAUAGACAAGCAGAAUUUGUCUGAAUCAAAUUUUAAAGAUAAUAGUUUUUCAGUUACUGGAGGAACAACUUACAAUGACUUGUUUCUUGGUGACGACUAUGUUAAUUCUUCAACAAUGGAGGAUAACACUGAAUUUUUUUCAUUGUUGGAAUCUUUCUUUUCUAGUUGAUUGUAAGCUUUCUCUGUAUUUCCUUUGCAGUGUAAUAAAAUGUUCUUGUGAUCUCUCAAUUUUUUCUUUGGCAUAUUGAUCAUAGUUUAAUUCUUAUCAUCCCCUAAAUGAUGAAGUAAAUGUGUACGGAAUCAAUAUUUAUAGUCAUCAACUAUGAGAUUAAAAAAGAAAAAUUCAUACAAAUAUUUUAUACUCGACCAAUCAACCCCAAACUUAAAAAUCUCCCAAAUUAACUAGAAUUAAGAGUUAAUUUUAUUUUAUAUUUUAAAUUAAAUAGCUCUUAUUAUUUGGGUUCUUAAUUAGUUUUAAGUAUUUAAUUAAUUAUUUUUAAAAAAUAUUUAGAACAAAAUUUUAUUUAUUAUAAUAUAAAGAUAUCAGUAUUUUAUUUUAAAAAAAAGAUAUCAACAUUUAUAAUCACUAUCAUUUUUAAUUUCUUUCUUCAGUUGAAGAAAUAAAAAAAAAAUAAAAUAUAUUUAAAAUUUAUUAUUAAAUAUAUCAAAUCAUAAAAAUAUUUUAUAGAUUAAUGUUCGGGUAAAAAUUAAACCUAACGGACAUAAAUCAAUAUUUUACUAAAUAUAUGAAUUAAGCCAAACGAACAAGAAAUUUAUUUAUUUAAGCUUACCGGUACAGAUUUUAUCGCAUAAUCAUUCUAGGGAUGACUUAAAUUAAAAAUAUAUUUUUAUAAUAAUAUAUAUUUAAUUUAAAUAAUAUAUUUAUAUAUAAUAGAAAUUGAUUUAGUCAGAAAUCUAAUUGGAUAAAAAAUUUAAUUAAAUUUUAAAACCUACUCGGAUUCGAUAAAGUUUUAUAUUUUAAAAUUAUAAAACUAUACCGAAAUCAAAGUUUGUAAAAUUCACUCAAGACUCCAUCUAUUGUUACCCUAAACCAUGUUCAAACCAUAUGAGAAUUGAACUUUGUGAUUCAGCCAGUUGUUUUACUUAUGAUGGUAUAGAGCCAACGGUCCAAAAAGUUGAAAAAAAUUUGGAUGUAUCUUCUUCUAAAAAAAAUCACUUUACCCUACAAGUCCUUGUUUCUUUCUGAAAAUCUAUCUAGGUUUUACCAUGAAAAUGAUGAAGGCUGUGAAGAAGCUCAAAAUCUGGUCAAGAUCCAAGAAGAAAAGGAAGUACCUUGAGGAGCCCCACUACCCUGUUCCGAUGCACCAGUGUUGUUGCUGUUCAUGCUCCUCCGUCCAGUCCUCAGCUCCUCCAUUGCCGCCAUGGCCUGAUCAAUUCUCAUAUCAGAUUCAAGCUGAUGAAACAGAAGGUGUAGAAGAAAGUAAAUUCAUCCAUUCAAAAUUCCCUCAAGUAGACGAAGGUAUAAUCACGAGUAGGUCAAUGUAUCAGCAAUAUAUGGUUCAAAAUCCUGUGUAUGACAUGCCUGAGCCUGUUGUUGAGAUAGUUAGAAGAGAAAGAUCAGGUGGGUACGUUGUUAAUUCGUUAGCAUACAUCUUCUUCCUAUUUUUUUCUAAAAAAAUUCAGCAAUGGUAAAAAUAUGUUUUUGUACCUUUUUUUUUGUAAAAAAGAAUUUUCAGUCUUAAUUUUAUUGUACCUAAUAUUUUAAUGUAAUAUAAAGUUUUAAUAAAAAUUCAUACCUAACUUUGGUUACAUUCACACCAAACGCGGGCAAGAAAGAGCCCCAGCAAACUCCACUCUGUACGCUAUGAGCUUCUCUAUGCAAUUCUUUAUCUCUUUCUGACUAUUUGUUCUCUGUGUAUUGCUCUUGCAAAAAAGCCAAGCAAAUAUGAGAAUCAAUGAACAAAAAAUUAGUCCUCAAAGAUGCUCAGAUUUAAAAAUACGUAAAGCUGGUGAUUCCUAAUUAUAAUGAUUUUGCUUCCAGGGGAAAACCAUUCUAGCAUUCCAAUUAUUUUAUCUAAAUGUCCCGAGUCAUCCACGUCAUCGGGAACAACAAGAACUCCUAUAAAGCAUAUAAUUCUUUUUUAUCUUACUAAUCCCCUCAUCAACAUUGUUGAACUUGUAUUUCUAAAUCUUGAUAAAUCCAAAAGAAGUUGUUCUUGUAAGUGAAGCAAACCGUGGAAACUGUGCUGCAGUUGCUCUGACAUCUGCAAGAAAUCUUCUGUCCCUGAAUUUUUCAAAGUUGAUGUUAUAAACAGUCUUAGCAAAUAUCAUCUUCCCUGUCCCUCCAAUCCCACUUGCUAUGUCAACUCCAUUUGAUCCAUCUUGAGUUCAGGCUUGAUUUCUUCUCCAAGAUCAUCUCUUCCAACUAACUAUUGGGCGAAAUUGAACAGUGCCUCAUGCCUGCCUAGAAAAAAAAACGAAAGUUAUGAUUGCUUCCCAACUGCUGAAAUUUAGUAAAAAUCUCAACAAGCGGAGAACGUGGAGUUUUCCAAAUAACAGUUACAAACUAACCAAUUAAAUAUAAUUUAUUAUAUGCACAUUUAUCCAUGUAAAUUGAUCAUUUAAAUUUGAGAAGUAUGUUAUGGAGCACAUAUAAAAAUAAAAAUCCGUAAAACAGAGGAAACUUAUAUAUUUCACAAUGCUUUCGACAAAAUUAUGGCCGUGUCUCUAAACCCUCUGCUCUAGAAUUAACACAAAGAAAAUGCGUGGUAAUAGUUUGUAGUUUAUUGAGAAGAAAGCUGAGAUCAAGCUUACAUAUGUCACAAAAAUCAUUUCUCCCAAGUCAGCAACCUCCCUCGCAGCACCUCAGCUGUUGUAUUUUGUUCUUUACAUCUUUUAGGUGCUCUUCAUGUGCGGCAAAUGUUUCAGAAAAACUCCCUCGCAGUAUACUUCCUAACAUGUGUUGGAUCUACUUCAUAGAACACUGGCAAGUUAUCUGUUCAGUGGUUCUCCUGUGUUACAUGAUCUUACCUAGUUCAUCAGGAAACCACAGAGAAGAGGCACAAUUUUAGGAGAAGAUAAUUAUUUAUAUUGAGACUCCAAUGGCUUUUUCAAGUUAUUUUAUUCAUAUCCUUUCCUCUUUCAACCCCAUCAUCAUCUUUAGAUGUAUGAAUUCCUGCCCGCAGUAGGGCCCUAUAAAGGUGAUCCGUGAAGCUCCAGCACCUCAUAAACUUAAGAACAUAUACUAAGCAUAUCCAGAACCUGAGGAGGAAGCUCGCUGCUCUGCACUCGCUGCAUCCAUUGAUAACCAAAAAUUUCAGGAGUAUCGAUUGAAAGCAGAUCGGUGAUGAAUAGAUAAUAAAGCACCAAGGAUCGACAUAAAUUUGUUGGCUCAAGCAAAUCAAUUAUGAUAUUUUUUUGGAGGAAAUUUCCACUUUAACAAUCAUGAUAAGCUAGUGAGCUAAAUCACAUCUUACCAUUUGCCUUUAACAAAAUUUCCGUCUUCUUUAAUUACUCCAACAAUGCAUCUUAGCUUUUACAAGGUAUUAAUUAAUAACUACAUGUGAUAAAUACAGAGGACUUUUAGGUAUUCUUGAUUAGACCCUAGAAUUGAUCGGAUCCUAGAAUUCUCUUCUAGGACCAAAUAUCAUUUAAGUACCAUAACUUCAAACUACAUUAAAAAUUAUCCAUAAGAUUUUGAGUUACAUUCAAUAAGAUACUCUAAUCUUUAAUUAGUCUCCCAAUACAUCUAUCACCAUACAAAUACCUGAAGAAAAUCUCAUCCUUGACAAUCUAGCCAUGUAAAUGCUUCCUUUUAUAAAUGCCACCUUAAUUUAAGUUAGCAUAAUAAUUAGAAUGGGCUUUGCAAAACCUCCAGCCCCAUCCUCGUGCAUCAUCAUCUAUGAAAAAACCUAAUUGCCUUACUAAAAGCAAUUCACAAACUAAUUAAUAAUACUUAAUCUAUUAAUACAUCCUUUCUAGGAAAGCUUUCUGAAUAAAAAGAGCAAAUCCAUGUCUCAAGAAUCGAUUCCACAUAUAAAAUAAUUCUAAAAACGUUUUAUGUGUAUUAUCUAUCACUCACAUAUAAAAUUUGCUUCAUAUUCACAUAAACAACUCAGUAGUCAACCAAAUCUAUCAAUUGUCACUUAUAAAAAUUAUGACCUAAAAAUCCCUUCUAGUAUCUGUAUUCCCAUGUACUAGGUUAAUCUUAUAACUAGAGCAAAAAAGAUAAAUCACAUCAGAAUCCCGGAUGUAGAAACCUUACUCAAAUUUGGUCAAUAGGUAAAUGACAUUUGUGUGAGUGUUAUCUCUUGUGCACUAACAUGUAGUAACUGAUUAAGAAACAAAUUAUCCGCUUAGUGAAUCAACUUUGAUGGAGCCAAUCAAACUACAUGCUGGAAUUUUUCGGAUUUUAGACUCUGCCAUCGCUUUCCUCCAAUUAGCAGCAUCUCCCCACCUUUCCCCAACAGCACUUAUAUUUGACAACACCACAUAUCGGCCACAAUGUUUUGGCUGUAAUUCAAGGAGCUUCUUUCCUACUUCAUUUCCCAACUGAACGUCCCCAUGAAUCUUACAAGCACCAGAAAGAGCUCCCAAAACAGAGGCAUCAGGCAGCAAGGGCAUGCAAAGUACAAACUCAACUGCAUCUCUCAGAAGUCCUGCUCGGCCCAAGAGAUCAACAGCACAGCCAUAAUGCUCCAUUAUUGGUACAAACCCAUAUCGACUUGACACUUACAGAAACAACUUCAAACCCAAGUCAACAAGUUUUGCUCGAGCACAAGAUGUAAGAAUAGCAACAAAGGUAACCUCAUUGGAGCAAAAUCCUUGCACUUUCAUCUUCUCAAACAUACAUAGAGCUUGCUUCGCCCUGCCAUGACAGGCAAGUGAAGAAAUCAUUGCAUUCCAAGUGAAAACCUCUUUAACCUCUAUCCGAUUGAAUACUCUUUUUGCAGUCUCCAAACAACCUGCCUUUCCAUACAAAUCUACCAACGCAGCCCCCACGACAGCGCUCAAACUGAACCCAUUCUUAACAACAUAUCCAUGUAUCUGCUUCCUUUGAUAAAGACCAGUUCCAUCUAAAUUAGCACAAGAAGACAGCACAGUAACAAAUGCAGCCUCAUUAGACUUUACGGAACCGCGGACCACAUCCUCGUGAACCAUAAUCUUUGCAAAAAGUGGCAAUGCAUCAACAAAGCGUCCAUUCAUCACGAACCCAUUAAUAACACUCGUCCAUGAAACCACGUCCUUCCCGGGCAUGCUCUGGAAAUACAGAAAAGCAGAACCCAUGUCUCCAUUCCUCCCAAAAGCGUCAAGUAAAGCAUUACACGCUACAAUACAUGGAUGAGGAAUUUCCACAAACAUCUUACGUGCAGUGCGUAUGUCACACACUUCGGCGUCCACACUCACGGAUGAAGUUUGCACAAAUGGGUCGCAUAAAACACCCCAUUUGAGAGCAUGAGCAUGGAGAAUUGGGCCAGAUGAGGGAGAGCAAGAAGCAGCUUUGAUUAGAGACGGGAAAGUGAGAUGGUUUGGUGAAAGUCCGUGUGCAAUCAUGCGGGUGAAAAGUAGUAAAGAAGUACAAGAGAGUCCCGUAGAGAGAUAAGAUCAAAUGAGAGUGUUGUAAAUGAGAACGGUGUUCCAUGAAGAAGUGUGGUUGAGGAGAGAGCCGCGGGUGAUAAGAAGGGAAUGAAUCUGUUUGAUCUGGUUGGGACAGUGGAUGAAAUGCUGGAGAAGAAGCUCGGGACUUGAAAAUCCAGAAAACCCACCUGUUACCAGAAGCUUUAAAAUCAAAACUUGAUUAGAUGCCCGUUCUUGUCCACCAUCUGCCCAGUUCAUAUAUUAUUAUUUUUGGAUCAAAUUAACAUUUUUUUUUUCUCAUGCUUCUUUCAAUUCAUAUAUGUAUAUAUAUAUAUAUAUAAAUUUAAUUCCAACAAAAAAUGAAGAAAAUUCUUUUAUUUUACUAUUUAUUUUCUGUGUUUUAAAAUAAUAAUAAUUAUUAAAUUUUAUUAAACUUAUCGAGAAAGAUUGAUUGAUUUUAUUUAAUCUAUACAAUCAUAUUAUUAAUAAAUUAAAAAAAGUUCGAUUACAACUGUUUUUUAAUCUUUCUAAGUUUUCUAACGAAAAAUAAAUUCUACGCAGAGAAAAUCUUUUCUCGACAUAGGUUAAAUUUUUAUUCAAUUUUUAACACUGUGUAUAUUUAUUAAAAUCGAGUCUAAAAUAAUUAUGAACUCAACUUGAAAAAAAUGCUUUGACAUUAAUAAAAUGGAGAACAAAAUCAAUAUUUUAAACUAUAAAAUUUACAUAUUAAAAACUAGAAAAUAACCAACCCUAUCACCUAAAGAAAAGAAAGUGACAAUCACAAAUUACCAUAUUCAAUUCAUUUAUAAUAAUCAUAAAUUACCCUCUUCGAAAAUUCUUAUAUUUCACUUCUGUUCUUCUAUCUUCAUUUCUCCACUAAUUUUCCGUAAAGAUUAAUUUGCAAUCGUUAUGCUUGCAACAUCAUUAUGAAAAUUUUCUGCCAUUGUGCAAUAUUCUUGCAGUCAAUCGCUUCAGACUAUUCUAGUGCUUGAUCCGAUCAUCUUUUAUGCAGAAAUAAUAUAAUAAUACCCCACUCAUUUGGACUGUUGUUUGGAGAUUAUAAGCUUUAGAUAGCAUUUUUAUUAAGUGUUUUAAUUCAAUAAUUAAAACACUAAUUGAACAAAAACUCAAAGUUCUACAUAAGAAAAAAGAUUGACAGUCAAACUAUUACCAUAACAUUUGUAAGACACAUUUUUUGUGUAAAACUUUGAACCUUACAGGACUAAGGCAAAGUACAAGUUAAUCUAUUGUUGGUUCUGGGUGCUAAUAUAUGAAUGUUCCUGUAUAAGCCUAUGGGGAGUAAGUCGUGCAAGAGGUCAAAAGAAAGGGAACAUACGAUAUGGGAUUUUGUCUGUAACAGGAUUCUAGUGGACAUAUUGGAGCUGCUAGCGGUAGCUGCUGUUUUCCUCACAUGGUUUUAUGGAUCCUGUUUAUGUGGAGUAUGAUAUUUAGUGAAAAAUAUUUUAUCAAGAAAGAGUGAGACUUACCUUAUAAAGACUUUGGGUAUUACAGUUUUAUUGUUUUGUUUCGAUAAGAGAGUGCUUAGUGCUGGUUCAAGUUUUUGGUAAAGACUGAAAACUAGUCAGCUCCACAUUCCUUGCAUGAUAUUAAUCAAGGUCGAUAUGCUUUUCAUUCUCAAGUUGUUUUUCUUUUUUGUUCAUUUUAAUUUUUUUUACGAAUGUGUUAGAUAAGAUGGUAUGGUUAGCUUCUGUAUAUAAGGAAUAUAUACCUUUCAUCUGUUUUGAUUUUCACUACAUGAAUGUUUGAUUUGUGAGAAGCUUCUCCUGAAAGAGACUAUUGAAACAGUUAGCCUCUUUGGUUUUACCUUAUUUCAGCUUAUUCUUCUAUUGAUCUGAAUACAUGUUUAACCUGUUUUGUUAUGUUUUAUUUUUCUUUUCGAGAUUUUUCAUAAUUUUUUAUGUGAUUGUUCCUCUCUGAGUAAUCUAUUUUAUUAAAUAUUAGUGCUAUUUAAUUUAUUAUUUUAAAUUUAAUUUUUAGGAAAAAUAAAUAAUAAUUUUUAAAUAUAUAUUUUGUUUUGGUUUAAUUUUAAAAAUAAUAUUUUUUUUCUAGAAAAUUCUGUAAUUGAACAUCUCUUUUUUAAUUUAAAUUUGUAAUUUUAUGAUUAAUUUAUUAUUUUUAUGAUUUUUUUUUAUAUUUUUAAUUUGUUUUGUUAUACAUUAUUAUUUUGCUUGCAAAUUAUAGUUAUAAUUAUAAUUAAAUUAAUUUAACAGCCCCAACUCAUAACCUGCAAACGACAGCGUUUUGGAAGAGGUUAUUGGCGGGAAGGGGGGAGUGUUUUAAGGGAAUUUAGAAAGGUUUAGGGGCAAAAUUGGAAAUACAGCUGUUCCAACGGUCUUCUUCUCUCUAUAUAUAUAGCACCGACCACUCCCUCUCUCUACUCAGCUUUCAGACAGAUCACAUUCCUUCUUCCCUUUCCUCCCGAUUCUCUCUGUUCAUUGGAAACGUUUCGUUUCCUUCCGAUUUCUCUCAAAUUCAAUCGACUGCUUCGACUUUGCUUCUCCGCUCGCUUCUCUGGUAAGGAUCUCCACUGCCGCUUUCUUUUUUUUUUUUCCAUUAAAGAUUCAUAUUGCAAAUCUUCUUCUUUAAUUUUUUCAAAGAACUCUUUAAUGUUUGUGGUUCUCUUAAUAUUCGUGAUUCUUUUACGAGAUAAAACAUAAAAUCAUGUCCUCUGAGUCAGAUCUGGAAUCCACCGUAACACUCAUUUAGGGAAAAGUCACCAAAAUCUAAGAUCCGUGUAAUCCUUUUUCGGUAACAAACGACCAAUAAAAAAUAUUAAAAAAGAAACCCAGAAAAUCCUCUGUGAAAAUAAAAAAACGAAAAGAGAUCAAAACCCUAGAUCUUGAAAUAAGACUGAUUACUUCUCCCUGGCUUUUCUGUAAUUAGGUUGUGUGGAGUUUUGCAUUUGAGAAUCUUGAAAUGAAUCUGUAAAAUGCAAUCUUUAUAAUGUUAUUAAGGUUUGAGCUCACCAUUACAACGUAAUGGCCUCAAACCCCAUGGAGGAGUCCUAAUCAUAAUGUAUCUUUGUUUUUUAACUGGGUACAAAUUGCAAUGGUGGUGGUUCUGCUAUUUGGGGUUUGAGGACUAAUUAUAAUGUAUAUAAUUUUCAUUUAGUUUGAGGACAAACUACAAUUGUAUAAUGGAUUGUAUUAUUACGGGUUCUCUGCGUUAUUAUGUUUGUUAUUUCAAUUAUUCGGGGCUUAUAGUUGAAAUUCCAAUGUAUAUUAUUUUUAUUGGAUGAGAAGCAUAUUGGGUUCUAUUAUUAUUAUAUAUAUUAUAUAUUUUUUCAAUUAAUUGUACUCAAAUUAUGGGUUUUGGAUCUUGUGGUUGUAUUCCAUAUUACAAUAUAUAUGUAAUAUUUGUAGGUGUCAAGUCUGUUUAUAGUUGAAAUUCCAAUGUAUAUUAUUUUUAUUGGAUGAGAAGCCUAUUGGGUUCUAUUAUUAUUAUAUAUAUUAUAUAUUUUUUCAAUUAGUUGUACUCAAAUUAUGGGUUUUGGAUCUUGUGGUUGUAUUCCAUAUUACAAUAUGUAUGUAAUAUUUGUAGGCGUCAAGUCUGUUUAUUUAUCUUAUAAUAUUGUUAUUAAGUUUUGUAAUAUUUUUUACAGGUUGUAUAUAAUAUUUAUAAGUUUUGAGCCUAUUGGAUUGUAUUUUUAUUAUUUUCGUCAUGAUAUUACCCACAUUAUUGUAUUUGGAUAAUGGAUUUCGGAUCAUUUGGUUGUAUUUCAUAUUAUAAUAUAUAUGUAAUAUUCAUAGGUAUCAAGCCUAUUGAAUUGUUUUAAUAUUGUUACGAAGUUUUGUUAUAUUUUUUAUAGGUUGUAUGUAAUAUUUAUAAGCUUUGAGCCUAUUGGAUUGUAUUUUUAUUAUUUUCGUCAUGAUAUUACCCACAUUAUUGUAUUUGAAUAAUGGAUUUCGGAUCAUUUGGUUGUAUUCCAUAUUACAAUAUAUAUGUAAUAUUCGUAGGUAUCAAGCCUAUUGAAUUGUUUUAAUAUUGUUACGAAGUUUUGUUAUAUUUUUUACGGGUUGUAUGUAAUAGUUAUAAAUUUCGAGCCUAUUUCGUUGUAAUAUUAUUAUUAUCACGAUGAUAUUACCCACAUUAUUGUAUUAGAAUAAUAGAUUUUGGAUCAUUUGGUUGUAUUCCAUAUUACAAUAUAUAUGUAAUAUUCAUAG
rnacentral:lncRNA from 1 species